GACUUAUUAAUAGGCUGGUCACAGCCUGUGCAGGGUCAGUCCCCAUCAGGACACAACAUGGACAUGAGGGUCCCUGCUGAGCUCCUGGGGCUCCUGCUGCUCUUGCUUCUAAGUGCCAGGUGUGACAUCCAGAUGACCCAGUCUCCAUCCUCCCUGUCUGCAUCCAUAGGAGAGAGAGUCACCAUCACUUGCCAGGCGAGUCAGGGCAUUAGCAAGUGGUUAGCCUGGUAUCAGCAGAAACCAGGGAAAGCUCCUAAACUCCUAAUUGAUGAAGCUUCCAAAUUGCAUACUGGGGUCCCCUCGAGGUUCAGUGGCAGUGGGUCUGGAACAGAAUUCACUCUCACCAUCAGCAGCCUGGAGUCUGACGAUUUUGGAGAUUAUUACUGUCAGAAGUAUGACAAUACCCCUUGCAUGGUGUUACAAGCCCGAACAUAA